rnacentral:rRNA from 1 species
UGCGAACUCCUACGGGAGGCAGCAGUGGGGGAUAUUGCACAAUGGGGGGAACCCUGAUGCAGCAACGCCGCGUGAGUGAAGAAGGCUUUCGAGUCGUAAAGCUCUGUCGUAUGAGAAGAAUAAAUGACUGUAUCAUACAAGAAAGCCCCGGCUAACUACGUGCCAGCAGCCGCGGUAAUACGUAGGGGGCAAGCGUUAUCCGGAAUUACUGGGCGUAAAGGGUGCGUAGGCGGCUUAGUAAGUCAAGAUUUAAAGGCAGCAGCUCAACUGCUGUUCGGUCUUGAAACUAUUGAGCUUGAGUAUAGGAGAGGAAAGUGGAAUUCCCAGUGUAGCGGUGAAAUGCGUAGAUAUUGGGAGGAAUACCGGUGGCGAAGGCGACUUUCUGGACUAUAACUGACGCUGAGGCACGAAAGCGUGGGUAGCAAACAGGAUUAGAUACCCUUGUAGUCCUAUC